UGUGUAACGUUGAGCCGUAGAAAGGUUAGAUUUGGAUCAUCAUGUCCCUCGGUAUAUGCACUUGCGCCAUGAAAUCAUACACUUGCCACGUAUCGUUAUUAUUAUUGCAUUAUAUUUAAUCAUACGAGUUUACAUUGAAUGGACGCUAUGCUCUAUUCAUCUCUUGUCUGCUAUUCUAUAUUUUGUCGUGCAUUUAUAUAUGCUUUCAUGCUUUGUGGUCGGGCUUGUGUGGUUAGCUUGUAGCGCGUUGUUGUGCUUACUCACAUCGUAUAUCCUUUGACGCACAACAACUAUGACUAAGUUUGAUUCGUCGCUACACUACCCCCUUCUUAGAGAAAGCACGUCCCAUGCGCUGAUAAACCUAGUAUGUGAUAUAUGUCUCCUAAAUCAUGCAAAAUUCAAACAAUUAAAAUCAUGUUGUCCAGAA